GGUCCGCUGGCUCAAUGGCAGAGCGUCUGACUACGAACAAAGUACAUCAGGAGGUUCCAGGUUCGACCCCUGGGUGGAUCG